GAUGAACGCUGGCGGCGUGCCUAAUACAUGCAAGUCGAGCGAACAGACGAGGAGCUUGCUCCUCUGACGUUAGCGGCGGACGGGUGAGUAACACGUGGAUAACCUACCUAUAAGACUGGGAUAACUUCGGGAAACCGGAGCUAAUACCGGAUAAUAUAUUGAACCGCAUGGUUCAAUGGUGAGAGACGGUUUUGCUGUCACUUAUAGAUGGAUCCGCGCCGCAUUAGCUAGUUGGUAGGGUAACGGCUUACCAAGGCAACGAUGCGUAGCCGACCUGAGAGGGGGAUCGGCCACACGGGAACUGAGACACGGUCCAGACUCCUACGGGAGGCAGCAGUAGGGAAGCUUCCGCAAUGGGCGAAAGCCUGACGGAGCAACGCCGCGUGAGUGAUGAAGGUCUUCGGAUCGUAAAACUCUGUUAUUAGGGAAGAACAAAUGUGUAAGUAACUAUGCACGUCUUGACGGUACCUAAUCAGAAAGCCACGGCUAACUACGUG
rnacentral:rRNA from 1 species